GUGCUCGCUUUGGCAGCACAUACACUAAAAUUGGAACGAUACAGAGAAGAUUAGCAUGGCCCCUGCACAAGGAUGACAUGCAAAUUUAUGAAGUGUUCCAUAUUUGA
ensembl:snRNA U6 U6 spliceosomal RNA